rnacentral:rRNA from 1 species
GAUGAACGCUGGCGGCGUGCCUAAUACAUGCAAGUCGAGCGAACAGACGAGGAGCUUGCUCCUCUGACGUUAGCGGCGGACGGGUGAGUAACACGUGGAUAACCUACCUAUAAGACUGGGAUAACUUCGGGAAACCGGAGCUAAUACCGGAUAAUAUAUUGAACCGCAUGGUUCAAUAGUGAAAGACGGUUUUGCUGUCACUUAUAGAUGGAUCCGCGCCGCAUUAGCUAGUUGGUAAGGUAACGGCUUACCAAGGCAACGAUGCGUAGCUGACCUGAGAGGGUGAUCAGUCACACUGGAACUGAGACACGGUCCAGACUCCUACGGGAGGCAGCAGUAGGGAAUCUUCCGCAAUGGGCGAAAGCUUGACGGAGCAACGCCGCGUGAGUGAUGAAGGUCUUCGGAUCGUAAAACUCUGUUAUUAGGGAAGAACAAAUGUGUAAGUAACUAUGCACGUCUUGACGGUACCUAAUCAGAAAGCCACGGCUAACUACGUG